CGUGUCCCGGCUGUGCCGCCAGGUGCAGCGCCGGGUAGCGAUGAUCGGCAAGGAUAACCGCUGAAAGCAUCUAAGUGGGAAGCCCACCUCAAGAUGAGUACUCUCAUGGCUAAUAGCCAGUAAGGUCACGUGGAGAACACACGUUGAUAGGCGUGAGGUGGAAGUGCAGUAAUGUAUGUAGCCCAAGCGUACUAAUAGACCGAGGGCUUGACCUCAA
rnacentral:rRNA from 1 species